CUGCGUUUGCGGCGCGGGAGGAAAGUCCGGGCUUCACAGAGCGCAGCGGCGGAUAACGUCCGCCCGUCGAAAGACGAGGGAUAGCGCAACAGAAAGCAAACCGCCUGUCGAUUCUUGUCGGCGGGUAAGGGUGAAACGGCGCGGUAAGAGCGCACCGCAGACUCGGCGACGGGUCUGGCUAGGCAAGCCCCGCUGGAAGCAAGACCAAACAGAGAGACAGGUUGGCUCGACCGGCGUUUUCCUUUUGGGAAACCUCUCUCGGGUAGGUCGCUAGAGCUUACGGAAACGGAAAGCGUAGAUAAAUGAGCGUUGCAGUUUGAAGUCAAACUGACAGAACCCGGCUUAUUUUUC
rnacentral:RNase_P_RNA from 1 species